UACGAAGGGGGCUAGCGUUGCUCGGAAUCACUGGGCGUAAAGCGCACGUAGGCGGCUUCUUAAGUCAGGGGGUGAAAUCCUGGAGCUCAACUCCAGAACUGCCUUUGAUACUGAGGAGCUUGAGUCCGGGAGAGGUGAGUGGAACUGCGAGUGUAGAGGUGAAAUUCGUAGAUAUUCGCAAGAACACCAGUGGCGAAGGCGGCUCACUGGCCCGGUACUGACGCUGAGGUGCGAAAGCGUGGGGAGCAAACGGG
rnacentral:rRNA from 1 species